rnacentral:rRNA from 1 species
UACGGGGGGGGCAAGCGUUGUUCGGAAUUACUGGGCGUAAAGGGCUCGUAGGCGGCCAACUAAGUCAGACGUGAAAUCCCUCGGCUUAACCGGGGAACUGCGUCUGAUACUGGAUGGCUUGAGGUUGGGAGAGGGAUGCGGAAUUCCAGGUGUAGCGGUGAAAUGCGUAGAGAUCGGGAGGAACACCAGAGGCGAAAGCGGCGACCUGGACAGGCACUGACACUCAACUACGAAAGCGUGGGGAGCAAACAGG